UCAAGCGAACAAGGGCGCAGGGCGAAUGCCUUGGCACUGGGAGCCGAUGAAAGACGUGAUAAGCUGCGAUAAGCUUCGGGGAGCUGCAAAUAAGCAUUGAUCCGGAGAUUUCUGAAUGAGGAAACUCACCUGGGUUCAUACUCAGGUACGUUAUACUGAACUUCAAAAUAGGUAUAUCGAGGGAACCGCCUGAACUGAAACAUCUAAGUAGGGCGAGGAAGAGACAUCAAACGAGAUUCCGUAAGUAGUGGCGAGCGAACGCGGAAGAGGGCAAACCGAGAGUAGAAAUACUUUCGGGGUACGGACUGCUUUUAAGACUUAAUCUGUUAACCGAACGGCAUGGGAAGGCCGGUCAGAGAGUGUGAGAACCACGUAGGUGAAAACGGAGAGAGCUGCGCAGAUUCCAGAGUACGGCCAGACACGUGAAACCUGGUCGGAAGAUGGGGGGACCACCCUCCAACCCUAAAUACUACCCAGUGACCGAUAGUGUAUAGUACUGUGAAGGAAAGGUGAAAAGCACCCCGGGAGGGGAGUGAAAAAGAACCUGAAACCCUGUGCCUACAAGCACCUAGAGCGCGUCAAAGCGUGAUAGGGUACUUUUUGUAGAACGGUCCGGCGAGCGAUUGUAUGCAGCAAGGUUAAGGACUUAAGGUCUGGAGCCGAAGCGAAAGCGAGUUUGAAAAGGGCGUUAAGUUGCAUAUAAUGGGCCCGAAACCGGGUGACCUACCCAUGGUCAGGUUGAAGUGGAAGUAAAAUUCCAUGGAGGACCGAACCGACCUCCGUUGAAAAGGCGGCGGAUGAACUGUGGGUAGCGGAGAAAUUCCAAUCGAACCCGGAGAUAGCUGGUUCUCCCCGAAAUAGUUUUAGGACUAGCCUCAAGUUAGAUACCUGGAGGUAAAGCACUGAAUAGCCUAGCGGCCGAGAGGUUAGCGAAGCUUAUCAAACUCAGAAUGCCAGAGUAUUGAUGCUUGGGAGUCAGACAGUGUCAGAUAAAUGUCAUUGUCAAAAGGGAAACAGCCCAGAUCUACAGCUAAGGUCCCAAAGUCAGGUUAAGUGGAAAACGAUGUGAAGAUACGCAGACAACCAGGAUGUUGGCUCAGAAGCAGCCACUCAUUCAAAGAGUGCGUAAUAGCUCACUGGUCGAGCGUCUUUGCGCGGAGAAUUUAACGGGGCUAAACCUGACACCGAAGCUUAGGCAAUGUAGUAAUACAUUGGGUAGGGGAGCGUUGUAUACGCGGAGAAACAGUAGCGCAAGCGGCUGUGGAGUGUAUAGAAGUGAGAAUGCCGGAAUGAGUAGCGCGAAUGCAGUGAGAAUCUGCAUGGCCGAAAGCCUCAGGUUUCUGGAGGAAGGUUCGUCCGCUCCAGGUUAGUCGGGAGCUAAGGUGAGGCCGGAAGGCGUAGCCGAUGCACAGACGGUAGAGAUUCCGUCACCACCAAAAGAGUUAAGCACAGGGACACAUAUGAAGUCUCAGAGCCGGGUGUUGGUUCCGGUAGAGAUCGAGGGAAGUUAGUACCGAAGUCUGAGAUGGAAGAUGGCGAGAAAAGCUGUGUGUAUUUCUGAGGUGCCCGUACCGCAAACCGACACAGGUAGGUAGGAAGAAGAUUCUAAGGCCAACGGGAGAAGGGUUGUUAAGGAACUCGGCAAAUUGACCCCGUAACUUCGGGAGAAGGGGUGCUCCAGAGAUGGAGCCGCAGAGAAUCGGCCCAAGCAACUGUUUACCAAAAACACAGGUUUGUGCUAAAUCGAAAGAUGACGUAUACGAGCUGACGCCUGCCCGGUGCUGGAAGGUUAAGAGGAGAUGUGCAAGCAUUGAAUCGAAGCCCCAGUGAACGGCGGCCGUAACUAUAACGGUCCUAAGGUAGCGAAAUUCCUUGUCAGGUAAGUUCUGACCCGCACGAAAGGCGUAAUGAUUUGGGCACUGUCUCAACAGCCCGCCCGGCGAAAUUGUAGUACCGGUGAAGAUGCCGGUUACCCGCGACAAGACGGAAAGACCCCAUGGAGCUUUACUGUAGCCUAAUAUUGGGUUUCGAUGUUGCAUGCACAGGAUAGAUGGGACUCUUGGAAACCAAGGCUUUGGCUUUGGCGGAGAGGCCGUUGGGAUACCAUCCUUGCGAUAUUGGAAUUCUAACCUGCGGCUCUGAAUCGAGUCGGGGGACAUUGUUAGGUGGGCAGUUUGACUGGGGCGGUCGCCUCCUAAAGAGUAACGGAGGCGUUCAAAGGUUCGCUCAGCUUGAACGGAAAUCAAGCAAAAGAGUGCAAACGCAGAAGCGAGCCUAACUGCGAGACUGACGGGUCGAGCAGUAACGAAAGUUGGAGUUAGUGAUCCGGUGGUAUGUGAGUGG
rnacentral:rRNA from 1 species